rnacentral:rRNA from 1 species
UACAGAGGUCUCAAGCGUUGUUCGGAUUCAUUGGGCGUAAAGGGUGCGUAGGCGGCGCGGUAAGUCGGAUGUGAAAUCUCGGAGCUUAACUUCGAAACUGCAUUCGAUACUGCCGUGCUUGAGGACUGGAGAGGAGACUGGAAUUUACGGUGUAGCGGUGAAAUGCGUAGAUAUCGUAAGGAAGACCAGUGGCGAAGGCGCCUUGCUGGCCGACUUCUGACGCUGAGGCGCGAAAGCGUGGGGAGCAAACAGG